rnacentral:rRNA from 1 species
UACAGAGGGUGCGAGCGUUAAUCGGAAUUACUGGGCGUAAAGCGCACGUAGGCGGCUUGGUAUGUCGGGUGUGAAAUCCCCGGGCUCAACCUGGGAACUGCAUCCGAAACUGCCUUGCUCGAGUAUGGGAGAGGGAAGUGGAAUUUCCGGUGUAGCGGUGAAAUGCGUAGAUAUCGGAAGGAACAGCAGUGGCGAAAGCGACUUCCUGGACCAGUACCGACGUUCAGGCACGAAAGCGUGGGGAGCAAGCAGG